rnacentral:rRNA from 1 species
AGAGUUUGAUCCUGGCUCAGGACGAACGCUGGCGGCGUGCUUAACACAUGCAAGUCGAACGGAAAGGCCCUUCGGGGUACUCGAGUGGCGAACGGGUGAGUAACACGUGGGUGAUCUGCCCUGCACUUUGGGAUAAGCCUGGGAAACUGGGUCUAAUACCGAAUAUGACCAUGCGCCUCCUGGUGUGUGGUGGAAAGCUUUUGCGGUGUGGGAUGGGCCCGCGGCCUAUCAGCUUGUUGGUGGGGUAAUGGCCUACCAAGGCGACGACGGGUAGCCGGCCUGAGAGGGUGACCGGCCACACUGGGACUGAGAUACGGCCCAGACUCCUACGGGAGGCAGCAGUGGGGAAUAUUGCACAAUGGGCGCAAGCCUGAUGCAGCGACGCCGCGUGAGGGAUGACGGCCUUCGGGUUGUAAACCUCUUUCAGCACAGACGAAGCGCAAGUGACGGUAUGUGCAGAAGAAGGACCGGCCAACUACGUGCCAGCAGCCGCAGUAAUACGUAGGGUCCGAGCGUUGUCCGGAAUUACUGGGCGUAAAGAGCUCGUAGGUGUUUUGUCGCGUUGUUCGUGAAAACUCACAGCUUAACUGUGGGCGUGCGGGCGAUACGGGCAGACUUGAGUACUGCAGGGGAGACUGGAAUUCCUGGUGUAGCGGUGGAAUGCGCAGAUAUCAGGAGGAACACCGGUGGCGAAGGCGGGUCUCUGGGCAGUAACUGACGCUGAGGAGCGAAAGCGUGGGGAGCGAACAGGAUUAGAUACCCUGGUAGUCCAA